GUAGGUGAACCUGCGGAAGGAUCAUUACAAAUCGAUGCGUGUAGGAGGGAGUGGGGUUGAGUAGGUAGGUGGUAGUGAGUGGGUGGGUAGCAAUACCUGCCUAUCUACUGUCUACCUCAUCGCCCCACUUGCCCAACACCAUAUUUACGCUUGCUGUGUUUGACAAAGUAAUAUUACAUACAAAAUAGACAACUUUUAACAACGGAUCUCUGGGCUCUUGCAUCGAUGAAGAACGCAGCAUCUGACUGAC
rnacentral:misc_RNA from 1 species